UAUCGACGAGUUUGAUCCUGGCUCAGGAUGAACGCUGGCGGCGUGCCUAAUACAUGCAAGUCGAACGAGGUGCUUGAGUAGCAAUACAAGAGUAUCCUAGUGGCGAACGGGUGAGUAACGCGUGGAUGACCUGCCCCAAAGUGUGGGAUAACAGUCCGAAAGGAUUGCUAAUACCUCAUGUGGUUAUUGGAUUUAGAAACUGAUAACUAAAGCAGCAAUGCGCUUUGGGAGGGAUCUGCGUCCCAUCAGCUAGUUGGUGAGGUAACGGCUCACCAAGGCGACGACGGGUAGGGGACCUGAGAGGGUGGCCCCCCACAAUGGAACUGAAACACGGUCCAUACACCUACGGGUGGCAGCAGUAGGGAAUAUUGCUCAAUGGGCGAAAGCCUGAAGCAGCAACGCCGCGUGUGCGAUGAAGGCCUUCGGGUCGUAAAGCACUUUUCUACGAGAUGAGAAAGGACAGUAUCGUAGGAAUAAGUCUCGGCUAACUACGUG
rnacentral:rRNA from 1 species